AAUUUGACUUGAGCGUCGGAGGAUCCUCGUAGGAGCGAAAAUCUCUUGCUCGGACUUCUUUUGCAGGUCACUCCAGCACUCCUUGCGCAAGGAUCAGGCGUCCACCUUCCGACCUAGUCAAAACGAGCAGCAACAGAUAGAGAAAGGGUGUAAUCUUCAUUAUGCCACUAAAGCGAACAUCAUCCCGACUCUCCAAUGCCGCCGUCUUUCGUCGGGCGGAGAGCCAGUUCAAUAGCCAAGCACAGCCACCAGCGAUGGAGACUCCUCCGCCAAUCCAAUUAGCACUGAUCACGGCGGAUCAGUUCAAUCUGCUUUUUCAACAGGUUCAGAAUUUGACGGCCACUAUUCAAGCAGUUCAGACUAUUCUUGCACCUCAGGCGGUGCCGUAGUUUGCUCAGGCUGCCCCUGCACCUCCCUCAGCAGUGCAACCGACGGUUCUCUCGACGGUACCAUCGGCACCUCCCACGGUGUUGCCCCCACUACAGCCAAAGCCACAUAUGCCUCCUCAGAGCCCAGAGAGGAGGCAGGCUUACCAAAGCCGUCCCAGAGCCCAACAGUCGGUCAGACGGCAAUCUCCUAGUUCACAAUCAGGAUAUGAUUCAACCCUUGAUCGCCAUUCUCGUCAGUAUUUCAAGGCUUGCAUUGUCUGAGAUCUUGCCAUCGAAAGAUGAUUUCGGGUACUCAAUGAGAGGAUAAAUAAGAAAAUUGAGAAUGCUCUUAACAAUAACUCCUCGGCAUGCCCUACGAGGGGUUCAAUAGUGAGCCACCCUUCGCUCCGAGGAUAGUGCAGGAGCCACUCCCUCGACAUUUUAAGUUGCCGCAGCUCGAGGUCUAUGACAGGACCAUCGAUCCCAUCAAUCAUCUGGAGACUUUCAAAGCGGCAAUGCUCCUCUAGGGGGCAUCAGAUGCCAUCCUCUGCUGAGCGUUCCCUCCUACUCUUAAAGGGGCAGCUCGACAGCGAUAUUCAAGCUUGAAGGUGGCUUCUAUCCACUUCAUUGAGGAGCUGUGCCGGUCUUUCAUCGGUCACUUUGUCAGCAGGCGACUGAAGGAAAAACCGACAGUUGUAUGCAUACAAUUUUAAAAUUUUCCGCAAAAAUAGUUUAGAUUAAAUUAUUUAAUCUAUAUUACAUGCAUAAGAUCAUAUCUAAACUACCAAUAAAAGAUCUAUGACGUGAGUUUACAUGCAUUUAAAAUCUGAAAUAAAAAAAAUCUGCGAUCACAUUGAUGCCUUAGAUCAGAUCUAACCCUUAGAUCUGAUCAGAUGAGUUUAAAACUUAUUACUUUUGCACGGGUCGAUGAUCGCCGCUGCUGAUAAAUGGGGUAUCGAGUUCUUCCUGAUGCUAAGCAGCCGUAUAGAACGUCCGGCCUCUACGGGAUGUCCACUCAAAGUUCUGGCACUGAUCAGUCUCUCCGGGAGUGCUAGCUUGCACAGGGAUCAACUUAAUGGCCAAUCUCGAUCCUUCUACGAUUCUCUCAGACUCUUUCGAGAUUGAGAAGGACACCAAAGAGGAGGAAAGGUGGCGAAAGAAUCCAAAAAGAAAUCUCUCUUUUCUGUCCUUUCUAUCUUCCCAUAAAAUCCUAGAGUAGAAACCCUAAGGAACCCACUCUAGAAUUCAUGCCCAAGAGGAAGCAGAUAUCCUCUUUCUAUCGCACAGAAGGCCCGCCCCCUCUCAGAAUUUUGAUGCCCACUCAGGUACUUUCCACGAUAAUUCAUUCAUCAGAUUUGUCGCACAAAUCUGAUCCAUUUAUGGUAGGCAUGGAGAAGAGGAUGAGAUCAAGUUCAAAUCAAAUUUGAACUUGAAUUUAAACCAGGAUAAGGAUCAAGUUUCAAGUUGAAUUCAAAUCAAAUUUGAAUUCAAUUUAAACCAAAUCUAAUCCUUAUCCAAGGUGCUCUGAGAGUGGACGACAAAUCUCUUCUGGGCGUGAGAAACCUUCACGCAAAACCAAUUUUUGCAUGAAGAAUAGAUGGACGCAAAGAUAAGGUGGCGUUAGGGUUUUGGUUCAAAUCCAUUUGAACUUGCAAUUGAUCCAAUUAGGUUCUCAACCAAACCAAGUUAGGUUAGAUCCAAUUAGACCAUUGAACCUAAUUUAAUUAGGUAAUAAAUUAUCUCGAUUAAAUUCUAAUCAAAUUAAAAAUUAAUCGAGCUCAAGUCUCGAUCAAAUCAAGAACUGAACAUCCUUAGCAAUUAGGUAAUCUUAUAACCUAAUCGGAUCAAACCUAAUUGAAUCCAAUUCAAUUAGACUUGAUCAAGCCUCAAUGCUCAAUCAAAUUGAGCUAAUCAGUAAUCUAAUUGCUAAUUAAUCCUCUUAUAAUUCAUUAAUCCUUAGCAAAUUAAUUUAUUGCAACUUUUGUACAAGGUUAAUCAUCAAUUGAAUUGAUAAUUAUAUUUUUGAAUGAUUCUCAAUCAUUAAUCAGCCAUAUGAUCAAUCAGAAAUUUUUUUUGAGUGUGACCUCAUAAGUUUGAAUCUAAGCUGGUAGCAUAGGAAUAAUUUUUUGUACUAAUCGAAGUGAUCUAGCAAUGAUACCUAACGUCUGGAUAGGCCGAAUGAUUGCAAAACAACAUUGAAAAAUCCAUUGGCAUAUGGUUAUUGCAUAAUUCAUCCCUUUGACCCUGAAUGCUCAGGAUGAUCUAGGGUUUAACUGUCAACCUUGAAUGAGUCAUCCACAUUGUAUUUCAACUUUUCAAAUCUACACAUAGAUUACCCCGAUCGAGAUUUUACUGAAUUAAAAUACAGUGAUGCACUCUUCUAUAAUCUGGAGGGGUCAAUUCCAUUUUGAUUCAUACACUAACUUCGCAAGUACUUGACUGUGUCUAGAAAGCUUUCAUCAUUGAAUUAGAAAUUUCGAUAGUUCGAUACUAAAGCACAGUGAGUUGCUUGCAAGUCACCGUGGUGAUCUUAAAUCGGAGGGACACUUAUACUUAUAUCCUUUGCGAGCUAUUAUUGAUAGCAGAGUGCUCCGUAUUUGAUCACAUUCAGUGAGAUGUACUCUUACAUCUUACCUACAUGCCAUACCAGUGUCACCAUACUCCUUGAUUAUGAAGACAACCAAUCCAUAUGGCAUACAAUGACCUACAUUUGAUAAUCGCUAUCGUCCGAGUAAUAAUGUAUCGUUUGGUCGCGAACAGGUUUAAGGACUAAAUGAUAUAUCCUCUUAUAUCGAUUAUAAUAGUCCUAAGGACUUCAUCAUAACACAAGAGUUCAAAAAAAAAUGCACACAAUAUGAUGAAAAAAUCAAAUAAUAUUUAUUAAUUACAAUUCAUAUACAAUUUAUAUACAAGAGCACAAUCAUCAACAGGUUGACGAUUGGCUUUGGGACAAUUCUCAACAACUUUCAUUUGGACUAAUGCCAAUGGGUACAGUAUCGUAUAUUCAUUUUCGAUUUAUGAUCUUCGAACUCUUUAACACUGAGGACUUUAGUAAAUGGGUCGGUCAGGUUCUCCUUUCUGUCGAUCUUCUGAAGCUCGAUGUUAUCUCGAUCUACGAUCUUUCGAAUAAGGUGGUAAUGACGCAGAAUAUGCUUGGUGCAUUGAUGGGACUUCGGUUCUUUUGCUUGAACAAUGGCUCCAGUGUUGUCGCAGUACAACAAGAUAGGGCCAUCAAGGGAGGAUGUCACUCCGAGCUCGCCGAUGAACUUCUACAACCACACAGCUUUCUUCGCAGCAUCGAAUGCCGUGAUAUAUUCCACCUCGCAAAUAGAGUCGGCCAUGGUGUGCUGCUUGGAACUUUUCCAACAGAUUGCUCUACUAUUUAGGGUAAAAACAUAUCCUGACACGCUCUUACUGUCGUCAUGAUCUGAUUGAAAAUUGAAGUUUGUAGAUCCCACAAGUUUUAAGUCAUAUUCUCCAUAAAUGAGCCACUGGUUCUUAGUAUUUCUCAAAUACUUAAGGAUGGUCUUUACGACCUUCUAGUGGUUCUCAUCUGGAUCAGACUGGUAUCUACUCACUAUCCCUAAUGAGUAUGUCACAUCCGAUUUCAUACAUGUCAUGGUGUACAUAAUAGACCCCACUAUCGAAGCAUAUGGAAUUCUACUCAUACACUCUCUUGAGGAAUUAUCGGACAAUCCCUCUUUGAGAAAGAUUUCAUGGUCUAUGGGAAGAUAAUUUUUCUUAAAAUUCUCCAUACUGAACAGUUUCAGCACGAUAUCAAUGUACAUGGACUGAGACAAUCCAAGCAACCUUUUAGAUCUAUCUCUAUAGAUUUUCAUCCCUAGGAUGUAGGAUGCUUCUUCCAAGUCCUUCAUGGAGAACUGAGAUGACAGUCAAAUCUUUAUUCUCUAUAAUGCAGGGACGUCAUUUCCGAUUAAGAGAAUAUCAUCUACAUACAAAACAAAAAAUACAACCACAAAAUUAUUAAUUCAUUAUAUAUACAGGGUUCUUCUCCAUUCUUAACGAAGUCAUACGUUCUGAUCAUCUUAUCAAAAUGCAUGUUUCAACUUCGAGAUGCCUGUUUCAAUCCAUAAAUUGAUUUCUGAAACUUGCAUACCUUAGAUUCAUUUAUGGAUGUGAACCUUUCAGGUUGUAUCAUAUACAUCUCUUCUUCCAGUUUUUUUAUUUAGGAAAGCUGUUUUCACAUCAAUUUGCCAGAUUUCAUGGUUCAGAUGUACUGCUAUCGCAAGCAUAAUCCGAAUAGAUUUAAGCAUUGUCAUUGGAGAAAAUAUCUCAUCAUAGUCAAUACCAUAAUAUUGAUGAUAUCUCUUAGCAACCAGAUGGGUUUUAUAGGUCUCCAUCUUUCUGUCUGCAUUCCUCUUUUUUUGAAGAUCUACUUACACCCAAUGGAUUUUAUCCCUUCAGGUGGGUUAACCAAUGUCCAGACAUCGUUGACGUUCAUGAACUCUAUUUCGGACUUCAUGGCUUCUAGCCACUUAUCGGAGACAGAUUUCUGCAUGGCAUCCAUGUAGGUGAUCGGAUCCUCAUUGUUUUCAUUGAGUUCAACAGGAUCAUCAUUCUAGACUAAGAAACCGUAGUAUCUAUCUGGCUGAUGUGGUACUCUACCGGAUCUCUACAACGGAUUCCGGAUUUGAUUUAAUCAAAUCCGAUUUUAUGGGUUCACUAAAUUGUGUCGGUACUUCUAUCGGUCAAACUUCAUCAAGUUCAAUUUUAGUGGCAUUAGUUUCUUUCUCAAGAAAUUUUUUUUUCAAAAAACUGUCUUAUUGCUGAUGAACACCUUUUGUUCAUCAGCAAGAUAGAAGUAAUAUCUCUUAGUCUCUUUCGGGUACCCAAUAAAUUGAUACUUGUCAGAUCUAGAUCCAAGCCUGUCUGUUUUCAAAUGCUUGACAUAAGCCGGACACCCCCAAACCCUAAAGUGAGAGAGUACUGACUUAUGUCCUAUCCACAUCUCAUAUUCGACCCAAAUUUAAAAUCGACUUGACUACCAUUGAUGUUCUUUUGCUUGGAACACUCCUUUCGACGAUUGGAACUAAGUUCACAACUAAGCCUAGUAUCCUAAAUUAGCUUAUGUGCUGAAUAAGAGUGUGCAAUCGCAAGUGAAAGGUAGAAAGUAAGAAGAUGAAUAAACUUUAUUCAUUCAUUCUCGGCAAAAUGUUUACAAUGAGAGUUUUUACAACGACCUUGGAAGGUCUAGGUACAAAGCAAAAGAGGAGAAAAAAGUCUUAAGAGGCGGUGCCUGGAGCUGGGAUGUCCAUCGCAGGUACAUCGACUGUAGUGGGUUUCCAGAGCUCAUCCAAAAAAUCCAGAUUUAGUUCUGGAUACUUCGCAGCAACCCUGUUCUGGACCAGCUGCUUCCCACUAGCAUAGGCAUCAGCAAAAAACUAGAUUUUCUCAUCCUCGUAUUCUACCGACGCCCGAAAAUACACAAUGGCCCUGGAGGCGGCCUUUGCUGCCUUCUUCUCUGCUAUCUCUAGCUGAGCUUCAAGCUUCUUUAUGUUCUCUUGCAAUCGGGAGUUCUCCUCGACAGCUCCUCUUAGCGCCGCUUCAGCGUCUUCAGCUCUUCUUUCGGCGGCAUUAGCCCUCACGGAGGCUUCUCUGGCCUUCCUUUUAUAUUUGUCUUUCGUACCCUUGAGCAUCUCGACGUCGGCUUGGUGCUUCCUUGCCUCAGCCGAGAGCUCGAUGCAACUCUCCAUGUACCCAUUUAGAUAAUGGGCAAGCUAUUAAGAGAAAUCUCUUAUUAGUGAAUGUGAUAAAUGUAUGUUUAAAAUAAAUAGUUGCAAAAACCUCGACUUACCUAGAUGAAGCUCUCCAUGGCUUUUCUCCUCACCUCCCUAUGCGGCUUGGUUAGCAGCUUGAUUGCAUCGGCUGGGAGGAGCAUAUUGGUGAAUAGCUCGUGCGCUAGCCGAUAGUCUUCUAAGACUGAAGCCUCGAGCCUUAGUGUAGCUGGCACGGUCUCGGAUUUCCUAGCCUCUCCAGUUGGCUCGUCCUUCAGAGAGAAUGCGAUGACAGGAGUCGGCAAGCUCAGAAUUAUCUCUUUAGGGGUUGGUAGACUCAGGAUUGCCUUUUCGGAAGCUCGGCUCGUUUGGCUUCUUUGAUCUCCAUCAGAAGUCGAAGAGAUCGAGCCAACCCUUGCAACUCUGAGGUAGCUGGCACGAGGAGGCUCGAGACCCUCAGACCCAAAAGCUGGCAGCACAGGGGGACGUCUAAUCUUGAUUAGGGUGCUUCGGCCAUCCGCAGGUUUAGCUUCCCUUUUCCAAUGGACCUGCUUUUUCAAUUUUUUCGUCAAAUUUAGGCCUGUCUCCGCAAUCAUCUCUGUAAGGCAAAAACCGAACGGUUAGUGUGAAAGCGAAGUAAACAAAGGAACACAUGGCUUCAAAAUAGAAAAUUUAUAUGCAUCUUGAGGAGCAGUUUGGCUGAUGUCGGUGUUGAAUAGCAUUUGCACCAAUAGAAGUUCCUUUAGCACCGGAACCUUGAAGUUAUGCAAGCUCUCCACUUCCUGCCUCAGGCAUUGAUCCAAUAAAGCUCUUUUAGCAUGGCCUCUUGGGGUCACUCCAGGCGACGAACUCCCAGUCCUUACCGGACGUCUGGGAGAUGAAGAAGAAUCGCUCCUUCUAGCCAUGGACUGCGGUGGGAGCAUCUUGUAUUAGCGGUCUGACAUUUUUUUUUCUUCGCGUCGUCACGUACCACCACCUGUGCGAAUCCGGAUGCCUCUUGAUGCUGAAGAAAGAAAAAAAGAGCACGACACUGGGAUCAAUCCUAGCCAGCACACAUACCAUGGUAAAGCCGCAGAUAUGUCGCCAUGAGUUUGAAGCUAUCGAACACGGCAACAUCUCGAGAUACUGGAGGAGAGUUGUGAAAAAGGGAUGGAGAGGAAGCCUUAGCCUAGCCAGGAAAUAUUCCUUAUAGAGGCUCAUUCGGCCCAGGGAAGGAUGGCAAACUCGAUCACUCGGCCCUAGGAUUUCUAGUUGAAACCUCGGUGGGAUUUGAAAUUGCUUGUGAAGCAGUAACACAUCCCAUUUUGUUAGCUCAGACCGAAAUUCCAGUGGGGCGAAAGCGGAGUCUCCAUAGGCCAUAUCCUUGGCAGGAAUGAAUUCUGGAAGCAACGACCAGAGAAGAGGGAGACUUGCAACGAAGUGAGGACAAACCCUAAAAGCUUAUGCCCAAUCUCAUCUAAGGCUUUAAAUAGCCCCAGAGUUCAAAUCAUCCCCAAGCGAUGCUUCUUUUCAGAGCAUUGAUUGUUGUGGGCGUGAAUUGACAGAGUGAUAGCGGACGCUCGACACGUGGCAAUCUUUAAUGGGAUGUAACUCCUGCCGUCGAUAUGGUAGUUAAUGCCAGUGACAGACGAAUCAUAUCCUAUGCCACUUUUGAAGAGCCAUAUGAGAACAUGCAACGAUACCUGCCAUGUGGAGGCGAUUUGAAUUCCAAUUCUUUUAAAUUUUUUUUUAAACGCUUGCACAACAGGUAUGAGUUGUGUAUGGCUUGGAUUUCGAUCCAGAUCAUGGCUCGAGCCGUACCUUACCCAAAAUAUAGCUCAGAUCGAAAUUUGGCUAAUUUAGCUCAGAAUGAGAUUUACAUUAAUCCAUUCGAACACUACGAACAUCAGUAACAAAAAUGAAUUCCAUUCAUUUAUAUCAAAAUGAUUACAAAGUUCAGAUAUACAAAUCAUUGCUUUGGAAUGCCACCAGGAUGACUUGCUUUAGAACAACCUUCUUCGAUGCCGGCAGCUUCUUUAGUCUGGAUGGCCGUGUCAAUUUUAUUUGCUUCAACGGAGUAGCGAGAUGCCCUUGUAAAUUUCUCUGCGCUAUCCACCAUCACGGCCAGCAAAUUUUCAUCUAAAAGGUCGGCUUGAAGAAGCUUGAUACUGUCAGUAGGGAUAUGCGCCCGGAUCAUUAUUUUGCAUCUUUCAAAAUCCGUGAAAAAUGCUGUCUUGCAGGUCUGAUUUAUGAUUUUAGCUCCCUUUUUCUCCAGCCGACUUUCCCUCCUUUCAGCAUUUUUGGUUAGGAGCUCUUGAUCUAUGAUUCCGCGCUAGAGUAUAUUUUGGCUCUCUUUCCUUCUCUUGUUUCUUCUUCAAACGCUUCAUUUUUGAUGAAGCCUCCCGAAAUUUGGCAGACGGCUCAGGGGAUGCCUGGAUCUCUUUGGAGGCAGAGCCCUCACCCCUCAGAGGUAUUCUCUCCCUGCGCCCCACUCUUUCUGAGGUCUUGGCCCUUUUAGCUAAGCCUCCGCUGGGACUCCUUUGAGAAUGAAUCUCGGAGGGGAUAUAAUCUCGGCUUCUUUUUCCCCCGAGUGUCCUCUUCAAGCACUCUACAACGUCGCGGGUUCGGCGAUAGUCCUUUUCAGCCUUAGAUCUCUGCCUCUUGAGGUCUUUGAUCUUCCUUUCAGCUUUAGAUCUCUGCCACUCAAGAUCUUCGAUCUAUUCUCAACUCUCCUUAACUCGUCAUCCCGACAGUCAAUCAUCUCUCGAGCUUCUCGAAGAGCCUCUUCAGAAGAGUUGGUUUCUUUGACCAACUCAGAGUUGGUUGACUUUGUCUGCUCCAAGUGAUAUUUCAGUGAGUCUAUCUCUUCUCUCGCUGUAGCAAACUCCAACGUUGGGGCUUCGGGGGUAAAGCCAAUGAAACUGGCUAAGUAAUGCCCAACCUGUACAAAUGGGUAUACAAUCGUUAGGUGCUACGAGUCAUAAAAGAUUAAAAGAGGAGAUCCGAAGACACUUUACCUGAGCAAGAGAUCUUAGAGCACCCAUCAUCCUUUGUUGGGCCCUUUGCUCAUCCAUGUAUUGCUUCUCAAUAGGAGAGAGAAAGCUUUCUAGAAAUUCUACUGCGGACGGAACAGAAGGCACCGGCUGUGAAGUCCUCGCUUGAGUUACAGUUGGGGGAAGGCAUUGGAGUGAGAGCGCAUGCUUCGAAGGCUCCUUAAUCUCCGUCGCCAUCACCAAAGCCUCCUUUGCACGACCACCCGCAUCCUCUACUUGUAUGGCCUCCGUUGGGAUCUCCUCAGCAUGGCUGGUCGAGUCCAUCACUUGUGCCUUUUCUACCAGUCUCUUUUCUGUCGAAACCUCUUUCGGUAGAGCUUUCGCCAUGACUUUCAAUGGGGCAGCUGUUGGCUUCGUGAUUGAAGGAGGAUUUUCAUCUCUCAUGGUUGCAGCAGUUGAUCCAGCGAUCGGAACCCUCACAUCUCUCAUGGCUGCAGCAGUUAAUCUGCCUCCUUCUAGUCAGUACCAACUCAAGGUUCCUUAAGUGCUCUGAAUCUAUCUUUUCUUCGAGGAUCGUUGAGAGUUACAGCGAAAAUUUGGAGUAGAAAAGCCUUGCGGUUGUCUCCUUCGUACAUUUGAGAGGCAAAUUUAAAAGAGGACAGGGGUGAAGACAAAAAGCCGCUGCUUGGAGAAAUUAAUUUCUCGAAAAAAUCAUCGAUUAUGUGGUCCCAUCAAUCGCGAUCAUUCACGGCAUGCUUCCGUCUGUCAGGCUGACGACAUCAACUUUAAAUGCUAGGGCACAUAUAAAUGCGUGAGCACACGCAUCCCCUGAUCCGAGGUACAACUUUUGAAGUAUUUUUUUCGUCUGAUUCUCAGACUCAGGAGUAGGGGGAUAGUGUUAUGGUGGUACCAUGAAUAUCUCGGAUUAGCCUGUUAUCAUGGGAUACCUCAGGCCGUCGAGUUAUUGCAGUGGCUGCCAACCUAAGAACAGAGCUGAAGUAUGCAGAGCCGAGCUACUAACUUACUGCCUGCUGCGUGGUUUGUUGGCACGUGAGCUGCUUUCAAUACCUCGGCCGACUUAUUUGCUAAUGUGUGCAACAGCUAUCCACUCUGAGUGGAUAGGUUCAGAGAUAACCGUCUCUCCUGAUUUCGUAGGAGCGAUUAAGGGCUAAAAUAUCUUGUCCGCAAUGGCAUGUUCAACGGUCCUGCAUUCUCGGGAUUGCACGAUCUCACAGCUGUUCAACCAGCUAUUCGACGACAUUCUAUAUAAACGACCAGCCUCGAGGAUCAAGGUAAGCAAUCUCUCUUAGAGAACUCGUUGCUACUCUCUUUGUUCUCUGAAUCUAACUUGAGGUCGGAGGGUCCUCGUAGGAGCGAAAACUUCCUGCUCGGACUUCUUUUACAGGUCACUCUAGCACUCCCUGUGCAAGGACUAGGCGUCUGCCUUCCGACCUAGCCGAAAUGAGCAGCAACAGAGGUGAUGUUGAUUCAGAUAUUAUUGAAGCUAAUGUAGUGUACAAUAGAUGGAGUGCAUGAAGAGGUUGAUGAAGUUUUCAUAGAUGAUGAUUUAGAAGAUGAAACAUUGGCAGAAUAUUGUGAUAUGCGGACAUAACUACUUAUGUUGAUCAUGACAGUGGCAUUAAUGCAGAUGCAUAGUUACUAUCUUUAUUUUCAAGUAAUAAAUGUUUAUACACUAUCUUUGUAUUUGUACUAAUUUGAUGACAUAUCUGCUUGUGUUCAUAUUUGUACUAAUUUGAUUAAGUAUUUAUUUGUAGUGAUACUUGAGAAUGGUUCCAGAAUUGAGAUGCCAAACUAGGGCCAGCUCCAAACAUUCACAUUCCACUGCACCUACCCUUAUAGUAGAGCCAUCUGCGAUUUUGUCUCAACAAUUAACUUCUAACUGACCAGCACCACAUAGUCAGCCCAAUUCUACAGCUCCAAAUGAGCCAUCUAUGAUUCUACCUCAACAAUUAGCUUCUAACUCACCUCGUGAUGAGUAUAUAGCACCACCUAGUCAGCCUAAUUCUACAGCUCCAAAUGAAACAAGUGCGCCUCUUAAUGUGUCUAAUUCUGCAGAAGAUGUAGUUAUUUUUAACUAAGUCCUUUGGUUUGUAGAGAAAAAAAUUCUUAUUUGUUAUUUUUUCAAAUGUUUGUAGAUUCUAAAUCCACAAGCGUUGUGGUCGUACAUGCGGUAUCGACCUAAGUAAAAUGUAAAAGGCACUAGGUAAGAAGUUGACAGUAGUGAUUGAUGUAGAUCAAGGGAGACCACUUGAUCGAGUGCAGUCAGCAAAAUUCUCUAGUGAAGUGGGUUUUGUUACUCAUUAAUGUAUGCAUGUGCCUAAAAGAUUUAAGGAUCUAGAUGAAGAUGACUUAAAUCCUGCAUUUGAUAGGUUGGAGGUAAUA
rnacentral:lncRNA from 1 species